AGUGAACGCUGGCGGUAGGCCUAACACAUGCAAGUCGAACGGCAGCACAGUAAGAGCUUGCUCUUACGGGUGGCGAGUGGCGGACGGGUGAGGAAUACAUCGGAAUCUACUUUUUCGUGGGGGAUAACGUAGGGAAACUUACGCUAAUACCGCAUACGACCUACGGGUGAAAGCAGGGGAUCUUCGGACCUUGCGCGAUUGAAUGAGUCGAUGUCGGAUUAGCUAGUUGGCGGGGUAAAGGCCCACCAAGGCGACGAUCCGUAGCUGGUCUGAGAGGAUGAUCAGCCACACUGGAACUGAGACACGGUCCAGACUCCUACGGGAGGCAGCAGUGGGGAAUAUUGGACAAUGGGCGCAAGCCUGAUCUAGCCAUACCGCGUGGGUGAAGAAGGCCUUCGGGUUGUAAAGCCCUUUUGUUGGGAAAGAAAAGCAGCAGGUUAAUACCCCGCUGUUCUGACGGUACCCAAAGAAUAAGCACCGGCUAACUUCGUG
rnacentral:rRNA from 1 species